rnacentral:rRNA from 1 species
AGGGCACCACCAGGAGUGGAGCCUGCGGCUUAAUUUGACUCAACACGGGAAACCUCACCCGGCCCGGACACGGACAGGAUUGACAGAUCGAUAGCUCUUUCUCGAUUCCGUGGGUGGUGGUGCAUGGCCGUUCUUAGUUGGUGGAGCGAUUUGUCUGGUUAAUUCCGAUAACGAACGAGACUCUGGCAUGCUAACUAGUUACGCGACCCCCCGAGCGGUCGGCGCCCCCCAACUUCUUAGAGGGACAAGUGGCGUUCAGCCACCCGAGAUUGAGCAAUAACAGGUCUGUGAUGCCCUUAGAUGUCCGGGGCUGCACGCGCGCUACACUGACUGGCUCAGCGUGUGCCUACCCUACGCCGGCAGGCGCGGGUAACCCGUUGAACCCCAUUCGUGAUGGGGAUCGGGGAUUGCAAUUAUUGCCCAUGAACGAGGAAUUCCCAGUAAGUGCGGGUCAUAAGCUUGCGUUGAUUAAGUCCCUGCCCUUGGUACGCACCGCCCGUCGCUACUACCGAUUGUAUG